GACGGAGGAUGCAAGCGUUAUCCGGAAUGAUUGGGCGUAAAGCGUCCGCAGGUGGCAGUUCAAGUCUGCUGUCAAAGACCGGGGCUUAACUUCGGAAAGGCAGUGGAAACUGAACAGCUAGAGUAUGGUAGGGGCAGAGGGAAUUCCUGGUGUAGCGGUGAAAUGCGUAGAGAUCAGGAAGAACAUCGGUGGCGAAGGCGCUCUGCUGGACCAUAACUGACACUCAGGCACGAAAGCGUGGGGAGCAAACAGG
rnacentral:rRNA from 1 species